AGCGAACGCUGGCGGCAGGCCUAACACAUGCAAGUCGAACGAAGUCUUCGGACUUAGUGGCGGACGGGUGAGUAACACGUGGGAACGUGCCUUUAGGUUCGGAAUAACUCAGGGAAACUUGUGCUAAUACCGAAUGUGCCCUUAGGGGGAAAGAUUUAUCGCCUUUAGAGCGGCCCGCGUCUGAUUAGCUAGUUGGUGGGGUAAUGGCCCACCAAGGCUACGAUCAGUAGCUGGUCUGAGAGGAUGACCAGCCACAGUGUGACUCGAGACACGGCCAAAACUCCUACGGGAGGCAGCAGUGGGGAAUCUUGCGCAAUGGGCGAAAGCCUGACGCAGCCAUGCCGCGUGGAUGAUGAAGGUCUUAGGAUUGUAAAAUCCUUUCACCGGUGAAGAUAAUGACUGUAGCCGGAGAAGAAGCCCCGGCUAACUUCGUGCCAGCCGCCGCGGUAAAAC
rnacentral:rRNA from 1 species